rnacentral:rRNA from 1 species
UACGUAGGGGGCUAGCGUUGUCCGGAAUCAUUGAGCGUAAAGAGCGUGUAGGCGGCCAUGUAGGUCCGGUGUGAAAACUCGAGGCUUAACCUCGAGAUGUCAUCGGAAACCAUUUGGCUAGAGUCCGGAAGAGGAGAGUGGAAUUCCUGGUGUAGCGGUGAAAUGCGCAGAUAUCAGGAAGAACACCAAUGGCGAAAGCGGCUUUCUGGGACGGUACUGACGCUGAGACGCGAAAGCGUGGGGAGCGAACAGG